ACGGCCCCGGCCUCGCCCCGAGGGUGACCAGGGAAGGCUCCCGGGCCACGGGAUUUUCACAAAGACAGACUCGCCUCCGUUUCUAGCGGCUUUAUUUUUGACAUACACGACCUCAGACACAAGCGGGGCGGGCAGCGCUAGGUGUACAGAAAGGAGCGGGCUCGGACCGAGCACCCCCUCCCCCGCACGCAAGGUCCAAAGCAAACGCAACUGCGGCGGGAGCCACCGGCGCAGGCCUCGGGCGGUGGAGACAGGCUUAGCUUCCAGGAAAGAGCAGCAGAGAGCGAUUCCCAGAACGCGAGGGCUUACAGUUCCCCGAGAAGCAAAAGAACCAGGUCCUUCCCAGGGUUCUCCAUUAUUUUUUCCUCAUUAAAAUAUAUUUUAAGUCAGCACAAACAUAACCAAAUUGUACAGCUUUAAAGUUCAAAGCAGUCUGCAUCUAGGGAACGUGCAUGUGGUCAGGAGUGAGCGCGUGAGCAGCGGCUACGUAACUA
rnacentral:lncRNA from 1 species